rnacentral:lncRNA from 1 species
UUCCUCGUCUCCCAGCCACGCCAAAUUAUGGAUUACAUAUCACAAAAGGAUAAUAUUAUUGAAAGAAACAUUAGGUAAACAUGUGAGAAUAUUUAUGAUAUAUAGAUAUAGACGAACAUGUAGGAAAAAGAUUCAAAAUGAACACCGUAGGUUUAUGACAUAAAAACAAAGAUUACAUUAUUCUUCUUGCAAAGACCAACAUGCUUCUCUCUGCACCCGAUGAAAAGGAUAAACGUUUUGGAAAGCUAUUAUUUCCACCUGCAAAGGACAAACAUAUUAAUAUCAGCUCUAAGACAGUACCAAGUAUUUUUAGGAUGGUUAUUAUUUACAGUUAAAUCAAUACAUGACAAGACAACAAUAUCUUGAAACAAAAUUAAAGCUGUCUUGCUAAACAAUCAAGGAAACAAAAUUAACAACCUUCUAAUAAUGAAGUACCCAAAAAUAGGAGGAGCUUCUUUAUAUCUUAAAAGGUCACCUUCGUCUCUAACCUUCAAAUAUAAUCUUCCAAAUAGCCUAUUUUGUUCCUUAAACUUUUAAACAUUUUGUUAAGUCCAUAAUCUUGUAUUUCACAUUCAUUUUUCACCAGUCAUCAACAAAAUUAGAAAUCUUUUAAGAACUCAAAACCUAACCUACUAUACGUUGCUUCAAGUACUUGUCUGCUACAAAUAUUCAUAGAUUAGACAAAUAUAGU